CACAAAAGAACUCACUUAUUAUAUCUGAAAAAAACAGUCCCUGUUCAGUUACAACUUCAUCAAAAUAAUGAAUCGAAACAUCUCCCCAAAUUCUCACCAACCCGUUUCAAAUAAAAAUCUUCACCGCUUUAGUUCAAGUGUCGCUAAAUUCAGAAUAAGUCAACAAACAACAAUCAACAAAGGAAACACAUUCAACUCAACACCCCUAUGAAACAAAACUUCAAAUCCAGUUGCAUUCAAUGCAGAGAAGAAAUCACCAUGGGAGAAAGGCAUGCGGAAUAUCUGAAGGCCUUACAUUGGUUUCUCGAUCCUUCUGCAACAAUCGUCGAGGCAACAAUUAAUUUGUCCAUGGGAUUCCACUGUAACUUUUUCCUCAUGUUCAUUCUUCUUUCUUUCUACUUGGCUUUCACAUUGUUUGUCCUAAUAGUGGAAUUUGAGACUUCUGUUAAGAAAUAAUGGAAAAAAAGGGAGGAAAAACUGAAAAUAACAUAUGCAAUUUAAACUUAACAAAUGUAUCUCUGUAUCUUAUAUUAUUGAUUUCCUUAAUUUAGGUUGGUGUGUACAAAUAAUGUUUGGAUCUUUUGGUUAUUGUGUCGUCCAUUUUGUGUAAUUUGAUGAAUCUUGAAUAUGUUUUACUU